GGAUCUGACUGGGGACUGACAACACAGUCACUUACAGAAGACAUACAUGCCACACAAAGAAUGCAAAAGUAGGAAGCAAAUGCAUUGAAUCUAGCCAGAUUCUGGAGUUUUGUACAACAGCUGAAAUAAGAACUGCAUUGGAAAACAGAGAGAGUAUGAAAUUUCACUUGAAAAAUAUUACAGACCAAAUAAUGUCACAGAAAACAGCAAAACAAAAUAUACACAUCAUAGAAUUACAAAAACCUACAAAUUUCUCCACUAAAAUAAGCUAUCUACAGUUUUUAUGAUUUUAUUUGCUUGUUUGUUUGUUUGUUUGUUUGAAACAGGGUCUAUGUACAAUGGCCCUGGCUGUCCUGGAACUCAUUGUGUAGACCAGGCAGGCCUGGAACUCAAUUUGACCCGGGAAUAAAGGUGUACUCCUUCA